AUGGUGAGACCUAAAGGAAAAGGUGGAAUGGGGUUUAAAGACCUUCGGAUGUUCAAUCAAGCCCUCUUAGCAUGGCAAGCCUGACGUCUUAUUCAGUUUCCGGAAAGUCUCUGUGCACAGGUUCUGCGGGCCAAGUACUAUCCGGAUGGGUCCAUUCUUGACACUGUCUUUACCGGGAACGGAUCAUCAACGUGGAACGCCAUUGAGCAUGGUCUGCAGUUAGUGAAGCAGGGGUAUGUUUGGUGGGUGGGGAAUGGUACUGACAUAUGUAUCUGGCGCGACCCGUGGUUGCCGAGAGGGCCUCCCUUUAAGCCAAUCACGCAGAAACGACGGCGCCGACUGAAAUGGGUAGCUGACCUUCUGAAUUUUGAUGGAUCUUGGAACAUUUCACUCCUCAGACAACACUUCUAUCCGGCUGAUGUUAUAGAGAUUCUGAAAAUAAAAUAA
rnacentral:rRNA from 1 species